ACGGGAGGCAGCAGUGGGGAAUAUUGCACAAUGGGCGCAAGCCUGAUGCAGCGAUGCCGCGUGGGGGAAGAAGGUUUUCGGAUUGUAAACCUCUGUCAACAGGGACGAAGAAGACGGUACCUGUGAAGGAAGCUCCGGCUAACUACGUGCCAGCAGCCGCGGUAAUACGUAGGGAGCAAGCGUUAUCCGGAAUUACUGGGUGUAAAGGGAGUGUAGGCGGGACUGUAAGUCAGAUGUGAAAUAUACCGGCGCAACGGGUAGACUGCUUUUGAAACUGCGGGUCUUGAGUGAAGUAGAGGUAAGCGGAAUUCCUAGUGUAGCGGUGAAAUGCGUAGAUAUUAGGAGGAACAUCAGUGGCGAAGGCGGCUUACUGGGCUUUAACUGACGCUGAGGCUCGAAAGCGUGGGGAGCAAACAGGAUUAGAU
rnacentral:rRNA from 1 species